rnacentral:rRNA from 1 species
CCUACGGGGGGCAGCAGUGGGGGAUAUUGGACAAUGGGGGGAACCCUGAUCCAGCGACGCCGCGUGAGUGAAGAAGUAUUUCGGUAUGUAAAGCUCUGUCAGCAGGGAAGAAAGAAAUGACGGUACCUGACCAAGAAGCCCCGGCUAACUACGUGCCAGCAGCCGCGGUAAUACGUAGGGGGCAAGCGUUAUCCGGAAUUACUGGGUGUAAAGGGAGCGUAGACGGUUAAGUAAGUCUGGAGUGAAAGGCCGGGGCCCAACCCCGGGACUGCUCUGGAAACUAUUGAACUUGAGUACAGGAGAGGUAAGCGGAAUUCCUGGUGUAGCGGUGAAAUGCGUAGAUAUUACGAGGAACACCAGUGGCGAAGGCGGCUUACUGGACUGUAACUGACGUUGAGGCUCGAAAGCGUGGGGAGCAAACAGGAUUAGAUACCCUUGUAGUC